CCAAAUGCCUCGUCAUCUAAU
rnacentral:ncRNA from 3 species